UACGUAGGGGCGACACGUUGUCCGGAAUUAUUUGGGCGUAAAAAGCGUCUCGUGAGCGGUUUGUCGCGUCUGCUGUGAAAACCCGAGGCUCAACCUCGGGCCUGCAGUGGGUACGGGCAGACUAGAGUGCGGUAGGGGAGAUUGGAAUUCCUGGUGUAGCGGUGGAAUGCGCAGAUAUCAGGAGGAACACCAAUGGCGAAGGCAGAUCUCUGGGCCGUAACUGACGCUGAGGAGCGAAAGCGUGGGGAGCGAACAGG
rnacentral:rRNA from 1 species